AUUGAACGCUGGCGGCAGGCCUAACACAUGCAAGUCGAGCGAGCGGCGGACGGGUGAGUAAUGUCUGGGUAUCUGCCCGUUGGAGGGGGAUAACUACUGGAACUGAUACCUAAUACCGCAUACCAUCGGCUUCGUCUAGAUGGGAUUAGAUAGUAGGUGGGGUAACGGCUCACCUAGGCGACGAUCCCUAGCUGGGCUGAGUGUAUGACCAGUCACAAUGGGACUGAGACACGGUCCAGACUCCUAAGGGAGGAAGCAGUGGGGAAUAUUGCACAAUGGGCGCAAGCCUGAAGCAGCCAUGCCGCGUGGAUGAAGAAGGCCGUCGGGUUGGAAAGUACUUUCAGCGGGGAGGCGUUACCCGCAGAAGAAGCAACGGCUAACUCCGUGCCAGCCGCCGCGGUAAUUC
rnacentral:rRNA from 1 species